CAUUAAAAAUUUUAUUCAUUUCUACUGUUAAAAACAUGCGUAACUAACAAAAUAGUUAAGUUAUACAUGACAUGCUAUGUGUAACCCAUUCUAAUAUAUGAGGACUAUUUUUUAACAGUAGAAAUGAAUAAUAUUUUUAACA
rfam:Gossypium hirsutum cultivar TM-1 unplaced genomic scaffold scaffold1271.1, whole genome shotgun sequence